rnacentral:sRNA from 1 species
GUGACCUACAAACGAGAUCUCUAUGCGGCUGAAUCGAUUAUUAAGGAGAGAAUUUCCCAAGAGAUUUGUGUAGUUAUGGAUACAAAAGAAGAUAACAAACAUAUAGGUCAUCUUCUUGAAGAAGUGCUGAAAAGUGAAUUAAAUAUGGAGUCUCACUCUAUUACCAGGCUGGAGUAUAGUGGUGCAAUCUCAGCUCACUGCAACCUCCACCUUCUGGGUUCAAGUGAUUCUCCUGCCUCAGCCUCCACCAUGCCCAUUAGCUGUGUAAUUUUAUCAUGAUAGCACAGUUGGAAAGAGAACAGGCUCUGAUAUCAGACAGCUUGCACUUUGGAUGUCAGCUCUGUUUCCUAAUUUCCUUAUCUGUAAAUUGAAACUGUUAAUAACAUCUAUGUUCUAAAUUUGCUGGGUGAGUUGAAUAAAAUGAAUAUAUUUAAAGUGCUUGGAGAAGCAUCUGGCAUGCAGUACGUUUUCAAUGGAUUUGAACUAUAAUUAAACUUUCAAUGAUAAGUUGGCAGAGUGGUGUGACAGUAUUAGAUAGUACAGACUGUUAGUUCCCAUACUUCAGUGCUGUACUGGAUACAUGAGUUGUUAAAAUUAACAAAUUAACCAGUGUCUUCUACCUCCUCCUUUCUAAAGAAUCUAAUUUGAAUUAGUAUGCUUCAACUUAAAGUUUAUAGCUGAAAGAUGACAGUGAACUUUCUUACUGUAUGUAUUCUUACAUUCAUGUCAUUACCUACUAUUUCCCUCAAACAAUUGUUUAUUCUUAGUCAUAUAAGUAAAUAUAUAUGUAAUAGCCACUACAAAUCCUUAUGUUGAUAUCUUAAAAAUCAUUUUGGUUUUCUGGAACUAAUCCUCCAAAAGAUGCUCUAGUGAGGGCUCGUGGGCACAGUAUUCCCAAGUUCUUCCAUGUGAAUAAAAUUAUUCUUUUGC